rnacentral:lncRNA from 1 species
GUGGCGCAAGGGAGAGAGUCCCAUUCAUUUGGGACUCUAAGAUUUAACCAAUUAGAUUUCUUUCAAACCCAAUCCAAUUAGAUUCAAAUAAAAUAUGAUGAACCUAAUCUAAUUAGGCUCCAAUAAUCUCAAUUAAAUCUGAUCAAAUCAGUAAAUUAAUUGAGUCAUAGAUCCGAUCAAAUUAGGAUCAUUUCUCCCUUAUCGAUUAGGUCAU